rnacentral:rRNA from 1 species
UACGGAGGGUGCGAGCGUUGUUCGGAAUCACUGGGCGUAAAGCGCGUGUAGGCGGCCCACUAAGUCUGAUGUGAAAGCCCGGGGCUCACCCCCGGAAGUGCAUUGGAAACUGGUGGACUCGAGUCCCGGAGAGGAGAGUGGAAUUCCUGGUGUAGCGGUGAAAUGCGUAGAUAUCAGGAGGAACACCAAUUGCGAAGGCAGCUCGCUGGGACGUUACUGACGCUGAGACGCGAAAGCGUGGGGAGCAAACAGG